UACAGAGGGUGCGAGCGUUGUCCGGAAUCACUGGGCGUAAAGGGCGCGUAGGUGGUGGCUUAAGCGUGCGGUGAAAGCUCGGGGCUCAACUCCGAGUCGGCCGUGCGAACUGGGCUCACUGGAGCAUAGUAGAGGCAGGUGGAAUUCCGGGUGUAGCGGUGGAAUGCGUAGAGAUCCGGAAGAACACCGGUGGCGAAGGCGGCCUGCUGGGCUAUGGCUGACACUGAGGCGCGGACAGCGUGGGGAGCAAACAGGG
rnacentral:rRNA from 1 species